UGGGGAAUAUUGGACAAUGGGCGCAAGCCUGAUCCAGCCAUGCCGCGUGAGUGAUGAAGGCCUUAGGGUUGUAAAGCUCUUUUAGCAGGGACGAUAAUGACGGUACCUGCAGAAAAAGCCCCGGCCAACUUCGUGCCAGCAGCCGCGGUAAUACGAAGGGGGCUAGCGUUGCUCGGAAUCACUGGGCGUAAAGCGCACGUAGGUGGGUCGUUAAGUCGGGGGUGAAAUCCCAGAGCUCAACUCUGGAACUGCCUUCGAUACUGGCGACCUUCGAGUUCGGGAGAGGUGAGUGGAACUGCGAGUGUAGAGGUGAAAUUCGUAGAUAUUCGCAAGAACACCAGUGGCGAAGGCGGCUCACUGGCCCGAUACUGACACUGAGGUGCGAAAGCGUGGGGAGCAAACAGG
rnacentral:rRNA from 2 species